ensembl:miRNA Mir6391 microRNA 6391
AUCCGGGCAUCCUCCCAGAUUUUAGAUAAUGUGAGGGAACUAGGAAGAUGCUUGCCAGCAUCCAGUGUCCAGCAAGUGAGGCACAGGAGGACAAUGCUACAGAA